UUCAGGCAGGGUUGGAAUUCCGGCCCAACCACAGAUCAGCAAUGUGAAACCUUUAGGAAGUUACUUCAUUUCUUUGUGCUUUGAAUACUCCAUCUGUAGAACGGGUAUUAUAAUCGCGUAAGGAGAAAAGGGGUACAAGAGGUUUCUACUGCUGGGCUAAAGCCCUGGUGGGUUCUGGUAGCUAUAAAACCACGAACGUAAGGUAAGGAUUAGAGAAGGAACCCAGAGUGGCUGCGAGUCAAGAAAAGACAUCAGAUAACAGCAAUUAUUUUACCAUUAUGUGACAUGUAAUACUAAUGUUCCUACCUGAAGAUAAAGAGCACAAUUUUAAAA
rnacentral:antisense_RNA from 1 species